rnacentral:rRNA from 1 species
CGGGGUGAGUAAUGUCUGGGAAACUGCCUGAUGGAGGGGGGUAACUACUGGAAACGGUAGCUAUACCGCAUAACGUCUUCGGACCAAAGUGGGGGACCUUCGGGCCUCACGCCAUCGGAUGUGCCCAGAUGGGAUUAGCUAGUAGGUGGGGUAAUGGCUCACCUAGGCGACGAUCCCUAGCUGGUCUGAGAGGAUGACCAGCCACACUGGAACUGAGACACGGUCCAG